AAGUUCAGCAGCAUGUACAGUAAAACUGGAACACAGAGAUACCAGAGCCCCUAUGCAAGGGUGACACCCAAAUUUGUGAAGCAUUCUGUAUUUUU
rnacentral:snRNA from 1 species